rnacentral:lncRNA from 1 species
AUGAGCCUUUUCUCCCUUAAGUUGUUCAUGAGCCUUGGACCACACCACGAUGACAUGAAAGUAGCUGAUACAGACACGUCACUCAUAGGUGUAACUAGGGUGUGCAUUGCCACCAGGAACUCUUACACCUCUUGUAAGAUCUGCAGUUUCGUUCCGGCGCGAAGGUCACGGACAAGAUGGUACCCCCGGUUCAGGUCUCUCACUGAUCAAGCUCGGCCGAUACUCAGCCCGGGUCCUCUGGUCCUCGGCAUGGCCUAAAACCGCUAAACGCUACAGUUACCUAAAACCCCGGGCAGAAGAGGAGAGGAGGGUGGCAGCGGAGGAAAAGAAGAGACUAGAUGAGCUGAAACGGAUCGAGAGAGAACUGGCAGAAGGUGACACCAUACUCAAGUGAUGUAGAGCCCAUGAGCUUGCCUAUCUUUAGCCGCUGAGGAUGAAUAAAACUUUGUCGUGUAAUGGAAAAAAAAAAAAAAAGAUCUGCAGUUUCACUUUGUAACAGAAUUGAAUGUAUUUGUAUUAUAUUGCCUUUGUCUUCCUGGGGAAGGGAGAACAUUGAGGAGGAACAUUUGAAAGAGGGACCAACUUACAGAUGAUCUUAUCUUUAAUAAAUACUUUCCAUGCAUGGAUAUAUCACAAUGAAACUCAUUAAUAUGUCUUAUUAAUAUACAUUGAUAAUUGUAAUAAAAAUUUAAAAACUACUUUCAAGUAUUCAUGACUUCCUUCCCUUCACACUCUUAUUAAAAUGAAGUGUGAAAUUAGGGGGCAUUCUGUGGUUGUAUCAUGUAAGCGAGUGUCUGACAAGAGGUGGAUUAAAAACUGAGAAGACAGGUUUAAAUGUUGAAGAUUGAAAUGGAAGAGAG